UCUUGCCGGUGUGGCCGGUGUAUACAUGAAGAACCACCCCGUAGCAUAUACCUCGUUGACUAUGCCUGCUAUUAUGCCGGCCCAACCUGUCGUCUCCCCAUUUCCAGUUUCAUAGAGCAUUGCAAGCUCAUGCCAUCAUUCUAUGAUGAUCGUCACUACUACAAUAAAGGUUUGUAGGGGCGGGUAAAAACGUAUUUUAGGGGCAGGUAGAAAAUCCAUGGCUAGUUCUCGCUGCUAAAAAUACCCUUUUUUCAGGGACGGAAAACGAACCUGCCCCUAAAAAUCCAUUUCUAGGGGCGCGCCACCCCCUCAACCGCCUCUGGAAAUGCAUUUGUAGGGGCGGUCCACAAGCCCACCCGCCCCUACAAAUGAUUUUCCCGCCAAUAAUUUUUCAAAUUUGAAAGUUUCAAUUAUGUUUUCCGCUAUUUUUUGCAAUUUGCCACCAAAUCAAUUCAUUCAAUGUAGUAGGCGAUCCAAACAUAGAAUAUAUUCAGUAAAUAAAAAUUCUUAAGCAUACAAAAUUAAAUUAUAUGAAAACUAAACAUCAUUACAGUACAAAUUGUUAAAGUGUAUAUUGAAUACAUGUUUUUCUCCUAAUCCUCCCUAGGACCGCUACUUGUGGUGGCACGGUGUUGUUGGUUCUCCCAUUCACGAAGCCCAAUGUAUAUAUCUUCGAUUGCCAAAUCUUGUACUUCAUGGAAAAAUUUGCCCCUCGCAUUGACCACUUCAUGCAUAAUGAAACAACACAAAUCGUCGACUACAUUUAGAAGUUGUUUCUCGUGGAGCUGGCUACCGUAUUCUUCAGGAUGAAUCUGCAAUUAUGGAAAUUAUGGUAAAAUUAUGCAAGUGUUAGUGAUAGUAAAAAAAAUGUGUAGACAUAUGUAUAUAACCCUAAUAAAGAGUAGCCCCUUACACGUUCUGGAUCUGUAGUAUAUCUCCCUUGCUACCUCAUAUUCUUGCACAUGUAGUACCCAGAGUACACCGAACCUGUGGGUUGCUUGUGGCACGGGAAUCUUGUGCGCAAAGUCAUUUCAAUAGGUUUGUCGGCAGGAUGAGCUCCUCCUUUACGAAUGUAGAACUUGUAAGCCCUGUUUUAAAAUGAAUGAAAAAAUAAAUGAAAGUUAAUUUAUAUAUGUAUAUUUCUUUAGAGAAAUAAACAUGAUGUGCAUGGGAAAGAUAAAAAGAAAUUCACUCACAAUUAUAUAAUUUUUAAGAAUUCUUCGUAACGCUUGGUUGACCAAUCCAAGGUGUCGAAAACUAGAAUUUUUCCGAGCUUUGGUUGUAUAAGGAAAGCAAUCCAGUGAUUUCUGAGGAAAAAAUAUUAUGUACAUUUUGUAGGCAUGGAUCGGAGCAAUGGUUUAUUAUGAAGUGGUCGAUAUUAGACUUACUGGAUGUGGUAGUCAUCAGUGUCCGGCAUCCAUUUUGGCGAGGCGUGCGCAGCCUCGCAAAUCGUAGCAGGGUCAAGGUAUCGAACCUUUUUAUUUAUAAUAAUGGCAUCAUAUGUUUGCAUCCUAUAGAUAAUAAUGUAUGACAAUUACAUAUUUAUGCACAUAACAUAGUUCUUUAUGCGGUAAUACAAAAUGAAUUAGUAUCAUGAGCACUUACAUGCACCAGAGUCGAACCAUUUCAAUACCAAGUUGUUGGUGAUGGAACAUGUGUUGUAUAUAUGCAAAAUCGAACAUGAUAUCAAAGAUUCCGGGCCCCUUAGGUCCGAAAACAUCCGGAUGGUGCAGAGCAUAUAUGGUUUUAAGGCCAAGUAUACAUGCCCUCUUGUACCAAUGAUGAAGCCUCCGCAUAUAAGGAGGACAAUCCCUUAGUGCCCAGUCCGGUAGCAAGUCCUUUCCAUACACAAACUUUAAAGGAGCAUCCUCCAAGUCUUGAAUUUCAUCAACCCCAAUUGACAAUUUGAAUUCCGUGUCAGUGCAUGGCGUAGAAAAGCCGGAUAGUCUGCUGCCACUAGAACUUGCUAGAUUAUCCUUGGACUUAGCCUUCUUAGACUUUGCAUCAGACUUUAUAUUUGUGGUGUGCCAUCUAUUAACGAUCUCUGACCCUUCUUUGUCCUUUUGGUAUGGUCGCAGCAUUCGAGGCAGCAAUGAUCGAGCAAUCGAAGUCAGGUUCAGUGAUCGAGUCUGUGGUGCAUGUAGUGAUGGCUCUUGUGUUGGUGAUACUCUGGCCUGUGGUGAUGGCUCUCGUGGUUGUGGUGAUACAGGGGCAUGUGGGGAUGGCUAUCAUGAUUGUGGUGAUACGGGGCUUGUGGGGAUGGCUGUUGCGGUGGUGGUGAUACGGGGCCUUGUGGGGAUGGUUGUUGUGGUGUUGGUGACACGUCGGCCUGAGGGGAUGGCUCUUGUUGUGGUGGCGAUACGGGGCCUUUGUGGGGGUGGUUGUUGUGGUGGUGGUGAUACGUCGGCCUGAGGGGAUGAGUGUUGGGAAAUUGGAGCCGCUGGUGAUGGGGUGGGCCUGAGGUGUUGGCUCUCGUGAAAAUGGAGCAGCUGGUGAUGCCUCUUGUGGUUCUGUUGAUGGCAGGGCCUGAGUAGCCAAAGGUACCUGAUCAACCAGUAAGAUAUCUCGUUUAUGUCAUUGGAUGGUGGUACCAACACAUUCUCCAAGGCAACUCUUUCCAUCUGCAGUGGGGAAAUCUAUCUCGUUAUCCUCAAAGCUUGAUUUUAAGAGUUGCUCUACUUGUACGCAUGCAUAUCUGAUGGGGAUCGGUUUUCCCUCAAAUAAACCCCUAGCCGGAUGCACCUGGGCCUUGGCUA